UGAAAUAUCAUAAUAUCGUUAAAACUGUCUUCGAUAAGUAUUUUACCUAUAGUAUGUCAUAAUUUGUACAUCAAAUAUCAUCAUCUUCAUCUAAAAUAUCAUAAAAAUAUCAAAAAAAGUUUUUUAAUUUUGUUUGACCUACAGAAUAUCAGAAUAUUGAUAUAUAAUAUCAUAAUUCGAAUCUGAGAUGUCAUAAAAACUUCAAAACAUCCCUUCGACAGGCAUUUUACGUACAGAAUAUCAUAAUUUUAAUAUCGAAUAUCAUAAUUUCGAUACAGAGUUUCAUAAAAAUAUCAAAAAAAUUGUUAAUUUUAUUUAUGUAUAGGAUGUUAGAAUAUUGAUAUAUAAUGUAAUAAUAUUGACCCACAUUGUCAUAAAAAUAUGAAAACAUACAUUCGGAAGAAGUUUUACAUACAGGAUGUCAUAAUUUUAACGCGAAUGUCAUAAUUUCAACAUAGGAUGUUAUAAAAAUAUCAAAAAAAGAUCUUGAAUUUUUUUUACCUAUAGAAUGUCAAAAUAUUGACAUAUGAUGCCAUCAUUUGGACCUAGAAUGUCAUAUUAUUGUCAAAACUAUCAUCAAUUUAUGUUCUACCUACAGGAUAUCAUAAUUUGAAUAUGGGAUGUCAUAAUUUUGACCCAAGAUGUCAUAAAUAUGUUAAAAGAAAGUUAUUCCAUUUUGUUUUACCUACAGGAUAUUAUAAUAUUGACGUAUAAUAUCAUCAUUUGGAUCUGGAAUGUCAUAAUAUAAUCAAAAUUGCUUUCGGUAGGUAUUUUAGAUAUAGGAUAUCAUAAUUUUAACAUCGAAUAUCAUAAAUUCAAUUCAGGAUGUCAUAAAAAUGUUCAAAAAUAUACUUUCGAGCUUAUGUCAUAAUAUCAACCUAAAAUAUCAUGACAUCCCGACUUAUUAUACUUUCAAAUAAUAUUUUUAUGACAUACUGUAUUCAAAAUUGAAAAGAAAACUUCAUUUGAAAUCUAACUAAUGCAUUAACUUCACUUAACUACCAAGAAACUACUGUAAUAAAAGAACAACUAUAAAAUUGUAAAAAAGCAUCUAUAGAUGGUAUUUUACUUCCUGAUGGAUAGGACAUGUUGUUUGGAUGGACGUAUAUUAUCUAGAUGCUACUCAAGAGCCUCGAAUGCAGAAUUGUAAUUAAAAAAAAAAAUUGGAUGGACAGAAGCUCAAUAAAUCGAGGAAGAAAAGAGAGAAGAGCAGUAUUCGAAAUGUCCAACCAGAUGGCAAGAUAGUCAAAAAGUCAUCUUGGAGAGAAAGAAUAUUUUUGUCAUAUUAAAAUUUUGUUAAAUUGAAAAAAUAGAUUAUGAUGUACAUUAAAUAUAUUCAAUGAUGAGACAGCGCACCACCUCCAUUUUCUCAUACCUGCAGACGUCCGGUUACAUCGAGCCACGAGGGUGCCACAUGGACCAAUCGGGCGAGGUGGUGCACUCCACAUCAGAUUUUCUAUACCGCAGGUGGUGUACAAAGAAUUUUGCUAUUUAAGCAUGUUAACAGUAAUCAAUGAACAAAUGUAAACUAAAAUCCUUAACAUGCCAUUAAUAAACUAUAAAUUAAGUUUAUAUAUAGUCAUAUGCAUAAAAGACUAUUUAUAAGAGUAUAGUUUAAUAAACAAAUUUUAAGUUACAUGCUUUACAAUCAAAACAAAAUAUUAUUUUAAAGCAUAAUUCCUACUAUGGAUGAUCUUGUGUCCCACUCUGCCUAGCCAUGUAUUCGUAAGAUCUUUAUCAUAUCUGCAAUAGCCCAAGUAUCUUGCACUAUGAAGGUUUGGAAACUAAGAUGGUGUUGCAGUUCGCCUGAUCCCAAAUAAUAUAUAGUGCUUCUCAUAAGCUAUUUUAUAGAAAGAUUUAACUUUUCCCUUUCUGUAUUUUUCCCAUGGAGCGAGUGCUACAGCUUUUCAUUCUAUUAGCAGAGAAUUGAGCUGAAUAAUAAUUUAUUUUCUCAUAGCAAAUUGAUUCUAUAAUAUUUAAGAGAUCUCACUAAAUUGUCCAAUCGUCCUAUAUGCAUUUGCAUAGUAUAUUUUGGGUUCAUUUUAUAAUUUUUGAAUUCUUUAUAAAUUGUUUGCAGCCUAUUGCCCAUUUUUCACUGCAUGCAUAUAAGAGAAAGAGUAGUAAAAAAUAGAUACAUGCUGUAUGUAACUCGCAAUGCAUGAUCACAUGGAGUGCAUGGAAUCAUCCCUUAUCUCGGACAAAGUUUAAAACAAAAUUUUUAGAGAGAAUAUCCUUCACUAUAUAACUCCAAAAAAUAUAUAAAAUAUACCGUUGAAAAGCUUAUUCUGAGGGCUUUCCAACGGUACUAAGAUUCAAAUAAAAAAAAUGAUUGUGUAAGAAGUAUAUCCAAUAAAAAAGGUCUUUUAAUCUAUAAAACAUUAUAUCUCCCUCUACAAAGGAUGUUAGGCCAUGAGAUUUUUCAUAUUAAAAGAAGACAUAUCGGAGCACAUGCUUCUACAAAAUCUCAGCCUAACACAAGGUAUAUAACAAGAUGCCAUAAACUAGGUUUUGAGAAAUCUAGAAUUGCAAAAAUAAGAGAAAACUAAUAUAAUGGUCAACGAUGAGACUUUAGCAGGUUAUAAAUCAAAUGUGGAUCAUGAGUUUAACCAUUAGGACUCUGAUAUCAAUGAUAAUGAAAAUUUGAUGUAAAUCCAAACCUUUUGUAAGUUUGAAAAAUUUGAAAAAAAUGGAACUCCUAUGAUGCAAAGGAUCAAAUUAUAUGUUUUCCUACUUCUGUAAGCCUCUUUGGGUAGUAUAUGCAAUCACAAUGGAAAACACACAAACAAAUCCAGCAUUCAAGUAUUUUAGAUGCAAGAAUAGGAUGAAAGAGAGUAUUCUUUGUCAUUUUUCUCCUCUUUUAAACUUUUCAGAUUUUUCUACCUCGGAGUGUUUUUUGACAUGGAGUUUUUGUUCUGAAAAAACUCAGAUAAGAUGAGCAAAGGAGAAGGAGAAACUUCCUAGUAGUUUCUUCUCCUCCAACUAUUCCCUCUAACAUUUGAAUUUUUAGUGAUCUUGGUUAAGCUAGCCCAUCAUGGGUGGCCCAACCAGAUUCAGAACCCAACAUUUGCAAAACAAAGCUCAAGUCUAUUUUUUGCUUUUUCUGGUUUUCUUUGUUCACUUGGUCUUGAUUUUGAGUAGCUCAGUCUGAUAAGACUAGGAUGAGUAGGAAAUAAAAAAAAUCUCAUCCUUAUAUAUAUUUUCAUAAUUAAUUGUAUUUUUAUUUAUAGAAAAUCUGUUGAUGAAAUUGUUUCUAUUUAUUGAUAUAGAUUCAUUGUUUGAGAGGAGAACAAAAUGAAGAAACUUACAGCUUUCGAAAUUGAUCCAGUUAUCAUUCAUAUGGAAUUCCGAUGCUUAUAGGUGUAUGUGAACAUAUGCUGAAAUAUCCUUGUCCGGUGCUUCUUAGGAUGAUAGUACUUGUAUUAGGAGGAAAUAAAAAAAAUCGAGGGUACUCUGAAAUGAAGGUAAUAGAAUUGUUAUAGAGAAACGGCACCCAGAGGUGCAUUUCAGCAAAUAAAACAUUAUGUGAUCCAUUGGUUUGUAAUUUUAUUUUGUUUUAUUUUUAUAAGUGCUUUCUAGAUUGUUUCUCAUAUAGGUUUGAUAUAGCCAUGUCCAAGUCACUUGCAGGUUGCAAUGAGGCAGUCAGCCUUUACCACUUCUGAACAGCACAGCUUGAUUUCCCCAUUCUGACUUCUGAGUUAGAGAUGGAUCGGUAUUCAUAAAAAGAUUAUUCUUAAAUUUACAAGUGAAUUCCUCUGACAAUACACCAUACUACUUAAGAGGCCGUGGUGGAUGGAUGACAAAAAUUUGGAAUGAUGAACAAGGCAUUAUUUAAGUGGAAGAACUAAUCGAUACCACUUGGCAGGUUUUGUUUUGAACAUGCAACUGAGUGAUGGUAGUGGAGGACAAUCUAGCAAUGAGGCAGCAUCUCCCGGUUAAAAGCCUAAACCGAGUAGCAAGAUUGAUUCAACCUCCGAAUCAGAGAAGCCAUGCCGUGCUGCCACAAAAAUUACAGUUCACGACCAAAAGUGGACUGAUGGCAGAAUCCCUUUUGAUACCGUCUCUGAUAACCUUGCUAAGCUUGGGAAGGUCUAAAACUGCUAGAUCUGACUAGCAUAUGCUUCCAAGAUCUUAUGCAUACAAUUUUAAAAUAUUUCAUCACCAAGUUCCCAGCCACAUUUUUAAUAGAAAUCCAUAUUUUAUGAAAAAUUUUCUUCUUUACAGAUGCAGGAGGCUCUUCAAAGGAGGAACCUUGAUACCUGCAGCUGAGGCUCUAGAAGAGGAACCUUGAUAGUCAGUAAUCAGGAGUCUUAGCAUGUUCUCUGAUCUUUGUUCUUCAUCAAAAGCUGGAAACCCUCAGCCAACAAUUGAUCAUUUCCUAUCCAUCUAUGAUGAUGUCCUGAAGUGCAAUGCCAUUGCUGAAGCUCUUGCUGCUAAUCGCAGCGGCAAUGGACCUAAUGACAUCACAUCUAGUGAACAGAGCAAAUCAGCCUCUCUCUGGGUUGAAGCAGCAUAAGCCACAGACCUUGGAGUUCUCCAUUUACUAACAAUGGUACCGAAUACCAAUCAAAAUGAAAAGGUGCUGAAGAACCUGCACUUCUUCCUAAGGAUCCUACAAGAAUAAGUGUGUCUGCGAGGAACUCUCUUGGAAACCCUGCCAUGAACCACUCAACCGUCCUGACUGAAUCCACAAUCAGAAAUACUUGGACUAUAGGAUAUGGUUUGGAUGAAGCUGUCAAGCUUGCCCAAGCUCUCCAACGUGAGACUUAGGUUUGGUUAUUGAAGUUUGUGGAGGAAGCUUUGGAUGUUGGCUUCCAUCUGUUUGGGGAGUGUUCAGAUGAUGGGAGUAGAACUUUUUACAACGGCAAAGUUACAGCAGUUCUAUCACAGUUGAAGCGGAUCAAUGACUGGUUGGAGGGGGUCAGGAGAAUGCCCGAAGAGGAGAUACUAAAAGGAGAAGAUUGAGAGACUGAAUUGCAAGAUGUAUGGUUUCAUUGUUGGUCACGUAGGGUCUACGUUUGAUAGCGCCAUUUCACUUUCAAAAGCUUCACUCCAUAUUUUCACCCAGCAGAUGACUGUUGUGAUUAAGUAUUGAUGUAAAAUCUUGCUAGAGAGACGAGAGUCUGUUUCCUUGUAUUUAUGCUCAUUUAUUCUAAUUAGUUGUGAAUCAUUGUUCAUUUUUUGAAUUAUAAUAAAUAGAAAAUUUUUUAGAGGA